AUAAAGUGUAACAAUUUGUUCUGCUACUCUUCAUAAGGCUUACCACUGUGCCCCUUGAGUGUACAACCUUUUUAUAGCGAAAUGCUUUACGUCACAUGACCCUAUGUAAUCAAGAAAUUCCCAACAUUUAUUCCUGAAAAGCAUUCAAAUCAAACCUCUUCAUCUCUAAUCACUUGGGUUUUAAAUACAUGUAUACCUUUUCUCUACAUUUUAUUUUAAACUUUAUUUAUUUUUUGCCUUUAGUGUAAAG